AUUGAACGCUGGCGGCAGGCCUAACACAUGCAAGUCGAACGAGUGGCGGACGGGUGAGUAAUGUCUGGGAAACUGCCCGAUGGAGGGGGAUAACUACUGGAAACGGUAGCUAAUACCGCAUACCAUCGGAUGUGCCCAGAUGGGAUUAGCUGGUAGGUGCGGUAACGGCCCACCUAGCAGACGAUCCCUAGCUGGUCUGAGAGGAUGACCAGCCAAACUGGAACUGAGACACUGUCCAGACUCCGACGGUACGCAGCAGUGGGUAAUAUUGCACAAUGGGCGCAAGCCUGAGUCAGCCAUGCCGCUUGUAUGUAGAAGGCCUUCGGGUUGUAAAGUACUUUCAGCGGGGAGGCGUUACCCGCAGAAGAAGCACCGGCUAACUCCGUGCCAGCAGCCGCGGUAAUAC
rnacentral:rRNA from 1 species